rnacentral:rRNA from 1 species
UACGUAGGUGACCAGCGUUGUCCGGAUUUACUGGGCGUAAAGAGCGCGCAGGCGGUCGUUCAAGUCGAGUGUGAAAGCCCCCGGCUCAACUGGGGAGGGUCACUCGAUACUGAUCGACUUGAAGGCAGGAGAGGGAAGCGGAAUUUCCGGUGUAGCGGUGAAAUGCGUAGAUAUCGGAAGGAACAUCAGUGGCGAAAGCGGCUUCCUGGACCAGUACCGACGUCAGGCACGAAAGCGUGGGGAGCAA